GACGUAGGAUGCGAGCGUUAUUCGGAUUUAUUGGGCGUAAAGCGUGCGUAGGCGGCUGUUUAAGUCUGGUGUUAAAGCUAGGGGCUCAACCCCUGUGGUGCAUCGGAUACUGGGGCAGCUUGAGUUGCGGUAGGGGAAGGUGGAAUUCCGAGUGUAGCGGUGAAAUGCGUAGAGAUCGGAAAGAACACCAACGGCGAAAGCACUCUGCUGGGCCGACACUGACACUGAGAGACGAAAGCUAGGGGAGCGAAUGGG
rnacentral:rRNA from 1 species